rnacentral:lncRNA from 1 species
CUUUUUCCAAAUUUUUGCUGUAUGUAUAUUUCUCAUUUUCCACAUUGUACAGAAACAACAAAAACCAGCGGAUGACGAAGGCAGCUCCACUGCAAGCCAACUUGGCUUCCAUCAAAGUGCCCAAAUUGGUUCACCCAUCCUAGUUUCUAGGGCUAAAUGGAUUGUGUGAAGGAAAGACAUCAUGGGCCUACUUGAAAGCCGAGUUAAGGGAUGAGAGUCUCGGUUGCCAAAGACGUCUACGUAUCAUCUCAUGAUCAUUUAAGUUUUCAUGAUAAUAGGAGGAGAAUUAUUGGCAGCCAACUACCAAGCCAGCUCCAAAGGAGACCACCGUGGACGCCAUUUCUUAUGCCCUAUAAUACUGCCUGCCAUGAACCGGAUAUCAACCCAUCCAUCCGCGGCACCGAUCGUUUUCCCACUUUAAAUGAACCUGGAGGUCCUCAUCAGCUUUUGUCAACAGGCCAGGGGUCACUUUUAUGAUGCUGAGCCUCUAACAACCCAUCGCCUCAUUAAAAAAUAAAUAAAUAAAUAUUAAAAAAAAGCUAGAGAGUAUUAUUAAGAUUCUUUGGCUCUAUAUAAAUACUUAGAAUCUACUUAGUGCAUAGCUGAUGUAGACUACAAAUAUACUUGCAUAGAUUCUCACAUACCUCAUGAUGGAGAAAAUAUUGGUCAUCCUGACCUUAAAUUGUUCCGAGCUUCUUAACAUCGGCUUUGACCGAGGUGAAUGACCUCUGUAUUGACUGAUGUGACAUUCUG